CAAGCGGUGGAGCAUGUGGUUAAUUCGAUGCAACGCGAAGAACCUUACCUGGUCUUGACAUCCACGGAAGUUUUCAGAGAUGAGAAUGUGCCUUCGGGAACCGUGAGACAGGUGCUGCAUGGCUGUCGUCAGCUCGUGUCGUGAGAUGUUGGGUUAAGUCCCGCAACGAGCGCAACCCUCGUGAUUAGUUGCUAACAGUUUGGCUGAGCACUCUAAUCAGACUGCCUUCGCAAGGAGGAGGAAGGUGAGGACGACGUCAAGUCAUCAUGGCCCUUAUGGCCAGGGCUACACACGUGCUACAAUGGUUAGGACAAAGAGAAGCGAUACCGCGAGGUGGAGCAAAUCUUAAAACCUAGUCUCAGUUCGGAUUGAAGUCUGCAACUCGACUUCAUGAAGCUGGAAUCGCUAGUAAUCGUAGAUCAGAUAUGCUACGGUGAAUACGUUCCCGGGUCUUGUACUCACCGCCCGUCACACCAUGGGAGUUGAAUUCACCCGAAGCCGGAAUACUAAACUAGUUACCGACCACGGUGGGUUCAGCGACUGGGGUGAAGUCGUAACAAGGUA
rnacentral:rRNA from 1 species